UCGCUACGCUAGUUUUCUCUCUCUCCUCUCUCUGUUGUUCUUACGAAACUUCCAUUCCCCUGCGAGAGAAAAUGAGCAAGGGACCUGGACUUUUCUCUGAUAUUGGCAAGAAAGCCAGAGAUCUUCUGACUAAGGACUAUAUCUCCGAUCAGAAACUAUCUAUUUCAACCUACAGCGACACUGGAGUGGCCCUUACAUCAACUGCAGUAAAGAAGGGGGGCUUUCAACUGGAGAUGUUGGAGCACAAUACAAAUAUAAGAACACUUUGAUUGAUGUCAAAGUUGAUACAGCGUCAAACAUUUCAACUACUCUUACUCUAAAUGACAUUGCCCCCUCAACGAAAACCAUUGCCUCGCUAAAAUUCCCUGACUACAGUUCUGGGAAGCUAGAAGUUCAAUACUAUCACCAUCAUGCUGCCUUUAGUACAGCUGUUGGUCUGAAACAAAGCCCUAUAGUUGAUCUCUCUGUCACGCUUGGUACUCCCACUUUCGCCAUCGGUGCAGAGGCAAGUUAUGAGACAGCCGAAGGUAAACUUGCAAAAUAUACAGCUGGCAUUAGUGUGACAAAACCAGAUUCUUGUGCUGCUAUAAUACUGGGUGACAAAGGGGACACAAUAAAGGCAUCAUAUAUACAUCAUCUAGAUGAAUUGAAGAAGAGUGCAGCCGUGGGCGAGAUCACUAGACGGUUCUCCACAAAUGAGAACACCUUCACAGUUGGAGGGUCAUAUGCUGUUGAUAACCUGACAAUUGUGAAGCUCAAGCUCAAUAAUCAUGGCAACCUGGGGGCUCUACUGCAGCAUGAGCUGAUUCCGAAGUCAUUGUUGACUAUUUCUAGUGAGUUUGACACCAAGGCCUUGGAAAAGACUCCCAAAUUUGGUGUGGCCCUUGCUCUGAAGCCUUGAACUGCAUUUUUGGAUGUGAACAACUAACAUUUUUUUGGGGGUUAGUGCCUGGAGGAGAGGUGUUCAAUAAGUAGUUCGACAAACUUGUGUUUUUUUCCACAAUUUAGAUGGUUUCUGAAUGAGUUGCUCUGAUUCUAGGGCCUCUUUAUGGUAUUUCUCUAGUUUUCCCUGUCUUCUCCAUAUCCCCUCGGAGAAAGACAAAGUGUUUGAUGUGUUCCCUCUGGAAGAGCUUUUUCUUCUGAUAUGGUGGCAAUUAGGUAACUUCACCAAUUGCAUUAAUUUCAUUUUAAUUGUUUCUAUGUAGAU